rnacentral:rRNA from 1 species
GCAGUGAGGAAUCUUCCACAAUGGGCGAAAGCCUGAUGGAGCAACUCCGCGUGCAGGAUGAAGGCCUUCGGGUCGUAAACUGCUUUUAUUAGUGAAGAAUAUGACGGUAACUAAUGAAUAAGCACCGGCUAACUACGUGCCAGCAGCCGCGGUCAUACGUAGGGUGCAAGCGUUAUCCGGAGUGACUGGGUGUAAAGAGUUGCGUAGGUGGUUUGUUAAGUGAAUAGUGAAAUCUGGUGGCUCAACCAUACAGACUAUUAUUCAAACUGGCAGACUCGAGAAUGGUAGAGGUAAUUGGAAUUUCUGAAGUAGGGGUAAUAUCCGUAGAUAUCAGAAGGAACACCAAUGGCGUAGGCAGAUUACUGGACCAUUUCUGACACUGAGGCACGAAAGCGUGGGGAGCGAACCGGAUUAGA